UACAAAACCCCAUCUCUAUUUCUCCCAAACCCUAAUCCCCAACCCCAUCUCUCUAAGCAUGGAUUGAGUUCCAUCGUUGCCAGAAAGCAUAUGUUGGGCUGUAUUCCUCGUUGUCGGCGUCGUCUCGAAACAGAUCAGGCCCCGUCUUCUCUUGCUCACCAACCCUAAUCCCCAACCCCCAUUGAAGCUCGGAAUAGGUUUCUUACCUCACCGUCGGCAUCGUCUCCCUAUCACGCCCACGCAUCCUUCCUUUUUUCGGAUCUCGCGCUUCGCUUCUCUUCUUUAGAGCCUUGAAUCCCUCUCCAUUUGCGAGCGAGCGAGCAGGCACCCGAACUUCAGAUCUCAGCGCUCUCAGCUCUGUUUAUGCUGCUCUUCGGCCAUGAUUGUUCAAUUCUGUUAGUGAAACUAGUUGUCCUUUUGAGGAAGGAUUUGUUCAGCCGUCUUAUAAACCAAGUGAGACUAAUAUUAUCAUAUGUAGAUUAAUUUUUACUAUCAUUAAUAAUGCCAAUAUUUCAAUGACUUGUUCUUGCCAUUACGUCAGGACUCAGGACCUCAGUGUAAUUUGUAUAAACUGUUAAUUUGUAAUCUUGAUAUUUGACCUUCCAAAUGCCACGGCCAAAUGUCACCUUUGGUUUGUUGAAUCACGAGUGACUUCUCAGAGCUCACUGCUCACUGUUUAUAUAAUUGAAACAUCCAAUAAAAAAUGAUGUUUUUCCUCC